rnacentral:rRNA from 1 species
AUUGAACGCUGGCGGCAGGCUUAACACAUGCAAGUCGAACGAGUGGCGGACGGGUGAGUAAUGCUUGGGAAUCUGGCUUAUGGAGGGGGAUAACUAUGGGAAACUGUAGCUAAUACCGCGUACCAUCAGAUGAGCCCAAAUGGGAUUAGGUAGUUGGUGGGGUAACGGCUCACCAAGGCGACGAUCCCUAGCUGGUCUGAGAGGAUGACCAUCCACACUGGGACUGAGACACGGCCCAGACUCCUACGGGAGGCAGCAGUGGGGAAUAUUGCGCAAGUGGGGCAACCCUGACGCAGCCAUGCCGCGUGAAUGAAGAAGGCCUUCGGGUUGUAAAGUACUUUCGGUAGCGAGGCGUUACCUGCAGAAGAAGCACCGGCUAACUCCGUGCCAGCAGCCGCGGUAAUUC